rnacentral:lncRNA from 1 species
AAUAAUAGAACCAUCUUUAGCAAAAGUAUCGGUUCCAAUUGCUAAUAGUGCCACCACUCGGAAAGAAAUGCAUUUAGUUAUUGCGGAGGAGUGAAUGGCAAGUAGUGAUUGCAUAAAUUGGGGUUAGGUUGUCGUAGUCUGUGGAAAUAGUAGACAUCCCGCAGCGAAGAAAACAGGGAGCGAAUUUCAGUGCCAGGUCGUCAUCAAUGUGGUCGACAUCUGCGAGAACCCACCAUUUUUCCGCAAUGAACACUCGCAACGGAAAAACAUUUGUGUCUUCCAUUCUUCUCGCGAAUGUUAUUUAUGUCCUAGUCAAUAGUAGUUUCCAUCUUUACCGCUCGUCCGUUUUUUUUUACGCUUUAUUAACAUGCACAAUGAAUUGGUAAAGUAAGAAAAGCAAUUCAAAACGCAAUUGUUAUAUUUACUGAGGAUUUUCGAGAGAGUGAUGUGGAAAGUGAUUUAGAUAAUUUUUGGAAUGAUAUGGAAACAGAUGUUUUAGGAGAAAUUAUUAUUAUAAAAUAUCUAGACUUUAUAAUAUGUAUAUAUAUAUAUUUAUGCGCGUAUUAUUUUAUUAAUGAUGAAUUAAGUAUCAUUUGGAUUAUUUAUUCGAAUUUUAAGAUAUUUUUUAAUAAGGUGUAAAUUUAGUUAAGUGUAAAUUUUUUUUGCAAUUAAAAAAUUUUGCAGUCUGCCAUAAAAAUUACAUGUAUCCAACUUCCGUUGGUUGGUUUGAAUUUCAAAGAGAACACGAGACAAAUCGAAUUCCAGACUGACCUUUUACACGUUGUGCACGUUCUCCAAUUUCCCGGAUACCAAUACGUAUAUUUAAAGAAACUGUGUCCUUUUUCUAUGAUAUCGACGGAAUCCCGCAAUGAGACUGGCGCCGACCUCCCUCGAUGAACUAAGGAAACCAAAAAAAUGAAAGAAAACUGUCUCCUUCAAAAGACAACUUAACCUGUGUCACGCGCCAUCGAGGAAAGACAAGUGCCUCAAUAAAGUGUAAUCCGAAGCUAGGGACGCACAAUACUGUGCUCACGAGACUACAUCUGUGUCUGAAGUUAGAGUACAAUAGAUUCGUCCUGCUUUCGUAAUCGGCUGCCGCAACUUUUCGAAUCUUAAGUAUGGAGGAAAUACGGAUCUGGCACACACGUGCAGAAUUUUCUUUUGAACAAUUUUUAGAACCUUUUUAUGUAAUGUAAUAAAUAAACAAAACAAAGAAAUAAGAAACAAGAGUAAUGUCAAUGAAUGAUAAAAAAAAUAGCAUAUGCUCUAUCGAAGAAAGUCAUGGCAUAUUUUUAUUCAUAAAAAUUUUUAUUUUCACAGCAUAAAAUAUAAAGUUACAAUUUUAACAAAAUUGUACAACAAUUCAAUAAUUUUUUCUAAAUCAUUCUAAAAUAAAAUUCAAAUAAAAUAUUUAUUUUGCAAAGGGAUCUUCAGGAUGUCAAAAGAUUCGCAGAAGGUGAAAGAAAAUGAAAUAAGAAGGAAGAUGAAUCGAAGAUUGGAGUGUGAAAUACAAAGAGACAUGUAUAAAAAGUUCAAGUGGUUGCACAUGAGGAACGAAGCUUUUCGGUUACCUACGUCAACGAUUAGAGUCUCUUCUUUCUCCUUGGUAUAUACGAAAACCGAGGAAAACUCGUAAAUUUUCUAGGAAAAGAUCUGCAAUAAGAGACUGGCGCCAAACAAAUUUCAAGAAUUAUGAUGUAUGUAUGUUAAAGAGUAAGGAAUAGAUAAUAAAAAAAUGAAUGAUAAAAAGAUUUUGGAUGAAAACUUCGCUAAGCAUUUACACAGUCGAUGGGAGAAAGAUCCAUAUCGAAUUUCGUGUAAGAGCCUACCGAUUGACGCCCACUACUAUUGGCGAUCUCAUCGCGAGAAAUUCGAGAUGAGGGCGUAACCAGUGACUUCUUUCCCUUCUUGACAAACUUUUUUAUCCUCUCCUUCAGCGGUUCUUUUCGACUCUUUACCCAUUACUACCAAAAUGGCGUGCUCGACAUCAAACGACGCCGUUUUUGUUCCAAGAUACAAGAUAAUCGAGAUAUCAUUUAACAGUAAUAAAAUAUUUAUUACUAUUUACUUUUUUAGAACAGUAAUGUAGAGAUUAA